UACGUAGGGGGCGAGCGUUAUCCGGAAUUACUGGACGUAAAGCGCACGCAGGCGGUUCGCCAAGUUUGGAGUGACAGUUGUCGGCUCAACCGACAAAGGACUUCAAAAACUGGUGAACUUGAGGACGAGAGAGGAACAUGGAACUCCAGGUGUAGUAGUGAAAUGCGUAGAUAUCUGGAAGAACACCAAUGGCGAAGGCAAUGUUCUGGCUCGUUUCUGACGCUCAGGUGCGAAAGCCAGGGGAGCGAACGGG
rnacentral:rRNA from 1 species